GUGCUCACUUCAACAGCACAUGUACUAAAAUUAGAACAAUACAGAGAAGAUUAGCAUGGCCCCUGCACAAUAAUAACAAGAAAAUUCAUGAAGUGGUCAAAAAGAAA